CUGAGGCUGGCAGGGCACAGCUGGAACAUGUGUGGGAUGUCAAGAGGAGGAAUCUGAUGUGCAGUUUGCUGGAGAGUCACACUGCAGAACUUUUGAAGAGGAGGAGGUGAAGAAGUGAUUCAGAGGAUAAGCAGCAGCAGAAGAGGUACCUAUUUUUUCAUGGUAGUGUGGACACUGCACUGCAGUGAGCAGAUUUAAACUUUGAGCAUUAUGUGAAGCUCAAGAAAUUGGAAAUAAGCCAGACUAAAGAUGUUCCUUCACGAGUCCAAUGGACAGUAUUGUAAACUACCAACAAGUAAGUAUUUUCAAGAGUAGAAGUCCUGACCGAAACACUUUUGAAGCCAUGAAGGAAAAAAGCAGCUUUUAUAUGACUUUCUCACUAUCCAAACAUAGAAAAGUUUGUAUGUGCUUCAGGAUCCCAUGUUAUUUCAACUUCGCUAAGUUGACUAAAGAAAUUUUAGUGCCUGUGAAUCCAAAUGGCAAAAUCAGGGUCUUCUUUUGGUCAUCUUGUUGACCUAGCAGAGACGACAGAAAUUGGUGGUUGUGCUCAAAAAUAAGGGGUGUUUUUUUAGUUUUCAGGGAAAUCUACUUAGACACAACCUACAAACUGGAGAGGCAGCAACUGAUGAAUAAGCAAUCUGUUAACAACUUGGACUAAAAACAAGGCACUGAUGAGGGCUGGGGAAUGAAGCCAGACAUUUUGGAUAGCAAAUGUAAUCAAUAACCUGCCGGUUUGUAGAAUGCGCAUAGUGCUCUUCUGGGUGUUUUUUUUGAUCAAGAUGGGAAAGAGAUUUGGUCUUUGGCAGCAAGCUGGGCAUCUACAGAUUUGGAAAUCAAAAUGUGGCAGAAGAAAUUACGUGGAGGAUGCCUUUACUGCAGUGGAUUAUCUGGCUACUUAUAGGACCUUACAAGAGCUAGUCAGUAUUAAAAUGUCUACCACAAAACCUAGUAAUGUUGCCCUUCUUGAUAGGAAGGACAUUUUUAGUGUCAGUACUACUGGUUUUAACAGCUAAGAAAUAAAUGCUUGCAGUUGAGUAGCCUGUGGAAAAAGCUUUGACCUCUCCACAGCAGACCACUUACCUUGCCAGUCUUGCCAGGGAGGCCAAGACUGAACAGAUGAAACAAAGACUGAAUUGCUCAUUUGUCCCAUGGGUAUAUUUGUCAUUGGAGGACUACUAAAACAUCUAACAUUUUUUCUAAGACCUACCUUUAACCAUUAUAUAAGUUGCUGGCAUUGAAAUAAUAACAGUUGUAGUAACACCAUCACCAAUAAUAAUAAAUCAAGCUUAACAUCUGCUUAAUGCAGUAUUUGUCUCCUGAAGUCCAGCUGAGUUAUAGAUUGUCCUCUGUGGUCUCUGUCUUGCUCAUUACCCAGCAAUGAAGCAGGGACACCCAAUACUCAGUUCUCGCUGCUAUGCCAAGCCUGGAGAACAGAGCAUCAGUCAUUCCCAGUUCUGAUGGGACUUGGCACUUCCCUCCCUAGCAAACAAGUUUGAGGUUCUACAGAGAUUAACUGUGAGGGGACAGCUAACUACAAACAACUCAAAGCAUCUUAUGUAGUUUCUGCAAGCUUGUGCAUAUUUUUAGGGGCUGGAUGACUAAAUCUGUGGGAUGCGACACACAAGGUGCCAUAAUGUAACUGCAAUAGUAGGCAGAUUUUGAAAUUCCAUGUUCAGAAACAGCUAAAUGAAAUUCACAUAGGUAUUUCAAAUACCCAGUGGUGUAGGCAGGCAUCACACAGGUUUUUAAAUAUUCCCAUGUGCUAGGAAGUAAAGCCGUGGGAUGCACAUGAAAGCUGUAUUGUUUUUCAAGACUUUAAAGGAAACUUGUCUAGUAAUUCUUGCCUAAAUAUUGUCUCAGCUGCUGACAUUUGUUCUUGCGGUGGACAUGCACAAACCCAAGACUCUCCAGCCUUACCUAAGCUUAAGUAGCCUUGCUCAAAGAUAAAGUUUCCCAUGGGCAAUAGGCUCCUUCUAGUUUACUACUUUGAUGUUGCACCCUGAAAAAUCUGGGUUACUCAGAUUUAAAAGUGGAGCUUUUGUCCACAAAUCUUCUGUUUUCCUGAAAGUUUAUUUGUGGUAUUUGUUUUUGUUGGUUUUGGUCUGUGGGCUAACAUCUUGGGGAAAAAAAAAAAAAAAAGAUACUAUCAAUGUCUACAUGUCAGACCAGGUAUUUAUUAUAGAGUAUUGAGCUAAAGAAUUGUCCCUGCCUGUACUUUCUACAAAUGAACAUUCUACAUCCCUAGGCCUUAUUUAGUUGUUCUUAAAACAUGGUUUAGUAGAGUGGCAGAACAUUUUGCUUUGCAGUUGCAGGGUAUUAUUCAGUCAUAUACUAAACUGUUACAAAAUGAGACAUGAACUUUGAGAUAGCAUCAAAUGUCAUAAUGGAAGACUGAAAUGAGUGCCACUCUCAUUAAUAACUUCAUUAUGGUGGAAGCAAGAUCGAACUUAUCAAGAAACUAAAAAUUAUGUUCCAUGGUAAUUUCUAGGAGAUAUUUUCCUUUCUCAUUAAAAUAAAAUCAAAUUCCUUUUCUGAGAGACUUCAGAUGUGAUCUCUUUAAAUCCUCUAUCAAGAUGCCAAAAACUGUCUAUGAAAAAGACUAUUCAAAUCCUGAUUUCAAACAUGGAGUGUAGAGAAGGAGGGCCAUGUUUUCAAACGUACAGCAGGGAGAGUCUGUAUAUACACAUAAAAACUAGCAUUCUUUGAAUAAAUCUGAGGACUGCUGACAUUCACACAUAGCACUUUACUAAAUGACAUGUGAAACAAAAUGCCUCUCAAAUGAAUGCUCUCUAGUCUGCUUUCAUUAGGAGCUUCAAAGGAAAAGAGAAGGUGGUUGUCAUUUUUGUUUCAUAGAACUUAUGUCUGGACAUAGAUAUCCUCCCUCUGCAAGCCUUGUUUACUCUUGCCAUUGAUACGCCUUCAGUUCUAGAGGAAGUCCUUUUUUUCAAGCAUUGAAAUAUUUGAUUUCUGUUGCUGGACACAGACUAUAGUGAUUCUUCCCACUUCUUUUCUGCAGUGCAAAGCUGCUGAUUUAUAUGCAUCACAGGCUCUAUGACAGUGUAAGAGAGGGCAGUGAGGUUAGGAUCAGAAGGGAAUAUAGUGAUCAUUAUCUGAGUUACUGGAUAAUUUCACAAAAUUAACAAUUCUGGUUUGAUACUACAUUUCUUCUGGUAUGAUUCAAUAAUGAACUCUGGAGAAGCAGGACAGCUACAGAGGCAGGACUGCUGCUGUGGCCUUAAAAUGAAACCCUACAGACAAAUACUUCCCAAAAGCCACCCUUGUCUUCUCAUGAGCUGCAGUGAACCCAAGCCCUCAGGCUCUGAGCACCUUGUGAAGGUUUUGCUCAGGACAAUGCCUCCCUAUCAGCCGCAGAGGAUAUUAAAGCUGAAAUAUCUGGACUGCAAAGCUGCUACUGGGCCAGCAGGAAUUUCCCUUAAUUAAUUACAGUACCUGACAAGUUCACAUAAAUACAAUGCAGCCUGAAAGAAUAAUGAAAGCAGUACUGUGCAUUUUUUUUCCUUGCACUAAGGAAACAAUGCAUUUAGGUGACAAUUUUAAAUAGAGAUAUACAAAUGGUACUAAGUCUAAUGUGAAAAAAACCCCAGUUUUCCUUUCAGCAUAUGUACUGAAGUCUACAGAAACGAAAGGCCUAAAACCAAUACCCUCUAACAGACUCUUUAUGUUACAGCAAGAGAAAACUACUUGCAGAAAAACCAGAUGCUUUAUACUAUUGUAGAUGACAUUCAAACACAAAGAAUCAUAAAAUAUUCUGAGUUGGAAGGCACCAACAAUCAUCAUAGAGUCUGGCUCCUGGCCCUGCACAGGGCAACCCCAAAAAUCCCUUUUUUCUCCCAGAAGGGAAAAAAGCAUCUUAAAUCACUAAUGGUAUAGUUUUAAAUAAUGACCACAAUACUCACAAAAACUGCUGUAGCAGUAGAAAGUUCAUCAAAAAUUUGAAAAUUGAUGGCUGAUUUACAAAUAAAAUAUUGAAGUCAUCAAGCAAAUUGUUCUAAAGAAGCCAUCUACCCAAAUUCUGAUGAUGCAGUAGGAAAUAGGCUACAGAAAAGCUGAGCCACAGAGACUUGGUAAAUUUUCUGCCCCAUUAACUCACAGUGAGUUCAUCUUUGGGAUGAAAUCUUGACACUGCUGAAAGCUUGAUUAUGCUAAAAUAAAUGUGGUCAGAUACAGAAAAUGUUCAUUACAAAUUCAAUGCCCAGUCCAAAAGGGUUUGGAUCAGACCUCUGCACAACACUUACAGUUCCAGGCUUCAGGGUCCUUAAAGGCAGAAAAAGCAGAACUUACCAUCCAGGUUUUCAUUUUCUUGUCUGUUUCUGACAGUGGUGUCUCUCAGGUGAUGAACUGUUUCCUUUAAGUUAAAAAAAAAAAGGCAUAAAACCAGCAGUAGAAAUCAAUAAUGGAAUUUUACUGUAGAAAUAGUAAGACACUAUAAAGAGUUGAAUUCUUUAGCAUUCUGAACACCAAGCAUCUCUCUCAUGGAAAGAAGUUUUAAAAGACUGAAAAAUGCUUAUAAUGCUAAGUUUAGGAUUUUUACCUAAGACUCUUGCGGAGUUAUCCCUGCCAGCAGUAAGUUAAAAUGAUUCUGGCAUUGGAUCACAGUCUUGGGUGUUCUUUUCUGUUUGUUUGGUUUUUUUUUGGAAAAGCAAUUUUUCUUCAAAAAUCCAAGUGAAGGACAAAAACUUCAUUGACAGCAUGAAGUCAGUUCAUCAUGUUUAUAGAGGACUAAGAAGAAAAGACUUUUCUGUGAAACAAAACCAAAGAAAAGUCACAUAUGCGAUGCAGGGUAAAAACCACCACUACAAAGUAGCUUUUUCCCUGAAGCACUGAAAACAGGCCAAGUAAAUCUUCCUUGAAAUAUGGGCAUCUUCUAGUUCACCAAGAAGUAGAAAGACUUAUAACUUGGUGAUGCUAUCAUGGUACAGAUUAGAUAUGAUCUUCCUCCACAAGAAAUGCCCCCGACUGAGAGUAAUCUCAGCAAUUCAUCCACAUGCUUGGCUGCAGAUGGAUUUUGAAGGUGGCAUCCUAGUGCUGUGCUGCUGCUGCCCAGCUUGGGAAAGGGCUCCCAGACUGCUCCAGGACCCUGCACUUUUGUUGUUAAGUGUUCCACUGUGAUGAUAAAGCUCAGACUUUCAAGUAGAUGCAAACACAAAGAGCACUCUCCUUGCUGGCAGCAUCUGAUAGCUCUUUCACUCUGAAAAGCAGCAGACUAGCUUUGCUUUUCUUCUUUCUACUAAAUGACCUAAAGUACAACAAGAAAUUAUUUUUGUUAAUGCAUGACCUCAUAUAAAACAAGGGCAUAACCUCUUCCUCCGUGUGUCUUUUUAGAAGUAAUUAACAAACCUCCUCUCCAUGACUUGCAGCUUUGAUGCAGUUCUUUCAGUGACUCAGUGUGUGGGCUUUUGUAAAUCCUGGUUUUGUGCACCUCAAUUUACUCCAUACAUUGAAUACAAAGCAGCUGUAGAGUGCCAACAAUUGUGGAUUUCACUAAGUAUAUUCAAGCUUUUCAGUCAGGCACAAAGCCUGGUGUAAGUUAAUAUACUGUAAUUGCUAGAAUAAAUGUAUGCUUGAUAUAUUUGUUAGCUGAUGCUGCUCAGUAGCACAUUUGGUUUGUUUGGUGACAUAAGGUUUGUGGUUUCAUGAAAGAUGCACAUCACCCAACAGUUUAAAACACAAGUCUUAGGAGACCAGCAUAUUUAACUCUGGACUUAAACCAAACUCAAAAAACCUCUCAAACAAUAGUGGGAACAGGUAUCUAGAAGAUUCAGAACCAUAACCAGCAAGCUCCUUGGGAGCUGAUUUGCAUA